AUGAAUCAAAUGAAGUUGUUUUGUGAAUUAGAAGCAACAAGAGUAAGGUGCAAAGAGCAUCCAAAUGAUAAACAAUUACCAGGCUCUCCUCAGCCUACUGAUGAUGAUUCGACAAAUCAUGGGUCUUUGGGUCAUCGUAAUAGACGCUUUCACCGGAAUGCUUCGCAUGCGGCUGGUUCGGUUUCUUGUAUGAUAAGCUUUAAUAAUGCUUUGAAUUUGAAGAAGAGUAAGUCGCUGGCUGUUGCUUCGAGGAAUAGAGUCAGGGAGAGGGAUGUUGGUGGAGGUCGGGGAAGAAAGAAAGAUGGCUUUUGGUCCAAGGUACUCAAACUUAGAAGAAAGGAAACCGAGGAAUCUUGA